GUGUGUACCAGAAUAAAAUGUAGUUAGCAAACUGGAUUGUCUUUUAAAGGUUAGUAAAUAUGUUAAUUUGUUUAAUAGUUUGUUUUAUAAAUUUAGAGGAACAAGAAUUUAAAGAUGUUCCCAGUAAAGUAAUUUUAAUCACAUUCGCAUGUAAAAUCGUGAUAUAGAUUAAAUAGAUAAUAGGCAAAGUUUGGAAUGAUAUUUAGGUAAAUGAUUUGUAUAAAAGAUUCUUAACUUAUAAAAAAGGAAUUAACUUAUUCGUAUAGAUAACUGAAAAAUACAAUUCUAAAUUUGAUACUUGAUUUAAUAUUAAAAGUAAACGAAUUAAGGGGAGAUAACAGAUGACACGACUAUUCAUUUAUGGCGCGUAUACUAUUGUCGUGCUUUAUAUUAUUGUUCGAUUUAUUUCGUGAAAUAUUUGAUGUAUAACUAUAAUGGAAAAGUAAUGUAAUAGACUGUAUUGUAACUGUUGUAAAUAUUGACUAGACUGUGUGUGAACAAGAAUAAAAUGUAGUUAGCAGACUGGAUUGUCUUUUAAAGGUCCCGUUGUCAUGCCAAGUCCAACCUAGUUCUUAUCAAUGUGAGCAGUUCCUCGCAAAAAGAAUUGAUAAAACCAUGAGAGGAAGACUACAACACAAGUUACAAAGACGGGACCGAGUUCCCGCAUAAUAUAAUCCCCGAUGUCUACCACG
rnacentral:lncRNA from 1 species